CCUACGGGAGGCAGCAGUGGGGAAUAUUGCACAAUGGGGGAAACCCUGAUGCAGCGACGCCGCGUGAGUGAAGAAGGAUUUCGGUAUGUAAAGCUCUAUCAGCAGGGAAGAGAAUGACGGUACCUGAGUAAGAAGCCCCGGCUAACUACGUGCCAGCAGCCGCGGUAAUACGUAGGGGGAAAGCGUUAUCCGGAUUUACUGGGUGUAAAGGGAGCGUAGACGGCGAAGAAAGUCUGGAGUGAAAGCACGCGGCUCAACCGCGGAACUGCUUUGGAAACUUUUUUGCUGGAGUACCGGAGAGGGACGCGGAAUUCCUAGUGUAGCGGUGAAAUGCGUAGAUAUUAGGAGGAACACCAGUGGCGAAGGCGGCUUACUGGACGGUAACUGACGUUGAGGCUCGAAAGCGUGGGGAGCAAACAGGAUUAGAUACCCCGGUAGUC
rnacentral:rRNA from 1 species